GUGCACUGCACUCUGAAAGCGACCCGGGCUGGGCUGUCCUGGGCUGGGUUGCCCCGGGCUGUCCCGUCCCGUCCUGUCCCGUCCUGUCCCGUCCGUCCCGUCCUGUCCGUCCCGUCCUGUCCCGUCCUGUCCCGGGCUGUCCCGUCCCGUCCUGUCCCGUCCUGUCCUGUCCCGUCCGUCCCGUCCUGUCCUGUCCCGGGCUGUCCCGUCCCGUCCCGUCCUGUCCCGUCCUGUCCCGGGCUGUCCUGUCCCGUCCUGUCCUGUCCUGGGCUGGGCUGUCCCGUCCCAUCCUGUCCCGUCCCGUCCUGUCCCGGACUGUCCCAUCCUGUCCCGGGCUGUGCCGUCCCGUCCUGUCCCGGACUGUCCCAUCCUGUCCCGUCCUGUCCUGGGCUGGGCUGUCCCGUCCCGUCCUGUUCCGUCCCGUCCUGUCCCGUCCUGUCCCGUCCCGUCCUGUCCCGUCCCGUCCUGUCCCGUCCCGUCCCGUCCUGUCCCGUCCCGUCCUGUCCGGGGCCGUCCCGGGCCGGGCUGGGGCGGGAGCCGGAUCUGGCCACGAGAUGGCAGCAUUCUCGUAACCGAGCGAGCGCGCGCGUGCACCUAGCAACGGCACCCCCGGCGCGAAGAGGGCAACGGGCCGCCCGGUGCGGGUCCCCCUCCGCUCCAUCCCUCGGGCGCCCCCGCCCCGCCCCGGGCGCCCCGAAGCGGCAGCUCCUCAGGGCCCGCGCGGCCGAGGGCCGAGGGCCGGGCCCCGCCGCUCUCGCGAGACCGCCGCCGGAAGUGGGUGGUAGCCGGGACGCCGCGGCCGCGCUCCCCGGAAGGCGAGCUGUUCCCCGGAGCCUCGCAGCCGCCUCGCCCAGGGCGCUCGCCUCCGAGGGAGAGCUCCCGCCGCCGCGCCCUCUCCGGCCCAGCCCUCCCGCCGUCGGCUGCCGGCACCGCACGGCUGCACGGCCGGGCCUGCGGAGCCCCUGCGCCCCGACCCCGCCCUCCGUCCGCGCCGCAGGUAGGCCGCGCCCUGAGGCCCAU
rnacentral:lncRNA from 1 species